GGAGGGCAUACGCGCAGGUCAGCUUGGUAGGCGCAUUGCGGUCCGUGACGGGCUGUAAAUCCGUCGGCUUAGCCUACCCAGGUUCGAAUCCUGGACCCGCCA
rnacentral:tRNA from 1 species